rnacentral:rRNA from 1 species
UUGAUUAUGGCUCAGGACGAACGCUGGCGGCGUGCUUAACACAUGCAAGUCGAGCGAUGAAACUACUUCGGUAGUGAAUUAGCGGCGAACGGGUGAGGAACACGUGAGGAAUCUGCCUUCUACACUGGGAUAACUCCGGGAAACCGGGGCUAAUACCGGAUAUGAAACUUGGUGGCAUCACCGAGUUUGGAAAGUUUUUCGGUAGAAGAUGACCUCGCGGCCUAUCAGCUUGUUGGUGAGGUAAUGGCUCACCAAGGCGACGACGGGUAGCCGGCCUGAGAGGGCGACCGGCCACACUGGGACUGAGACACGGCCCAGACUCCUACGGGAGGCAGCAGUGGGGAAUAUUGGGCAAUGGAGGAAACUCUGACCCAGCGACGCCGCGUGCGGGAUGAAGGCCUUCGGGUUGUAAACCGCUUUCAGUAGGGAAGAAGCGAAAGUGACGGUACCUACAGAAGAAGCACCGGCUAACUAUGUGCCAGCAGCCGCGGUAAUACAUAGGGUGCAAGCGUUGUCCGGAAUUAUUGGGCGUAAAGAGCUCGUAGGUGGUUCGUUACGUCGGAUGUGAAAAUCUGGGGCUCAACCCCAGACCUGCAUCCGAUACGGUCGAGCUAGAGUUUGGUAGGGGAGACUGGAAUUCCUGCUGUAGCGGUGGAAUGCGCAGAUAUCAGGAGGAACACCAAUGGCGAAGGCAGGUCUCUGGGCCAAUACUGACACUGAGGAGCGAAAGCGUGGGGAGCGAACAGGAUUAGAUACCCUGGUAGUCCACGCCGUAAACGGUGGGCGCUAGUUGUGGGAACCUUCCACGGUUUCUGCGACGCAGCUAACGCAUUCAGCGCCCCGCCUGGGGAGUACGAUAGCAAGAUUAAAGUCAAAG